GGAGCGCAGCCCCACUGGCACAGGGUGACGGCGGCCUCGCGCACCGCCUGUUCCCGCCGUGCCGGCGCGGCUCCCCCCCCCCCCCCCCCCCCCCCCCCCCCCUUGUCCCCGCCGUGCCGGCGCGGCUCCGUGACUCCGAGGCUGCCGCAGCACGGCUCGCAGCCCGCUGCCGCCCCGAGCCCUGAGGGCGGCGCGACCCAAAUGCCGGGCGCGGGCGGCAGGGACGCGCAGGCCGCGGCAGGCCCAGCUCCCGCCGCGCGCAUGCGCGGCAGGGCGCACGGAGCCCGCGCCCUCCCGCACGGAACACGGCGCUCCGCAGGCGCGCAGGCAGGAAGGGGAGGCUUCUCUCCCCCCUUCUCCCCCCGCUUGCCUCUCCCUCCUUGGGGCUGCUGCAGCUGCUUGCCCGUAACUUCUAUCAUUUUCUGCCGUGCCCUCAGAGGGUCAUUUCAGCUCCCUGCUGCAGGCCCUCUGCGUUCUACCCAAUAACAAGCUGGCCUUCGAUGACGUCGUUAGUUGCCGGGCAGAAUUUCCCUUGGCGCCUCCCCCCCCCCCCCCCCCCCCCCCCCCCCCCCCCCCCCCCCCCCCCCCCCCCCCCCCCCCCCCCCCCCCCCCCCCCCCCCCCCCCCCCCCCCCCGCCGCGGCGCCACAGGGAGGGGCGGGGCGUUUGGUUUGAUUGACAGCACUGCUAGUGGGCGGGGAGCAACGCGAGAACCAAUAAUAACUCUGAGUGGCCUUGAUGAGCAGGGCCCGCAGCCAAUGGGGACGGGCGGGAGGUCACUCGGUUGCCAGGGCCUCGCGGUUGCCAAGGCCGCGGCUCGGCGCGGUGGCGAUCCCGCUGCCGCCGUCCGGGCCCUUCGCCGCCGCCGCCCCUGCCCCCCCCCCCCCCCCCCCCCCCCCCCCCCCCCCCCCCCCCCCCCCCCCCCCCCCCCCCCCCCCCCCCCCCCCC
rnacentral:lncRNA from 12 species